AACGAGGCCGACCUGCGGCUGAGUUACCUGCGGAAGGAUCAUUACCGAGUUUACAACUCCCAAACCCCUGUGAACAUACCAAUUGUUGCCUCGGCGGAUCAGCCCGCUCCCGGUAAAACGGGACGGCCCGCCAGAGGACCCCUAAACUCUGUUUCUAUAUGUAACUUCUGAGUAAAACCAUAAAUAAAUCAAAACUUUUAACAAUGGAUCU
rnacentral:misc_RNA from 1 species